rnacentral:rRNA from 1 species
GUGCCAGCCGCCGCGGUAAUACGAAGGGGGCUAGCGUUGCUCGGAAUUACUGGGCGUAAAGGGAGCGUAGGCGGACAUUUAAGUCAGGGGUGAAAUCCCGGGGCUCAACCUCGGAAUUGCCUUUGAUACUGGGUGUCUUGGGUAUGAGAGAGGUGUGUGGAACUCCGAGUGUAGAGGUGAAAUUCGUAGAUAUUCGGAAGAACACCAGUGGCGAAGGCGACACACUGGCUCAUUACUGACGCUGAGGCUCGAAAGCGUGGGGAGC